rnacentral:rRNA from 1 species
GAUGAACGCGUGGCGGCGUGCCUAAUACAUGCAAGUCGAACGCGACAGCGAAAGGUGCUUGCACCUUUCAAGUGAGUGGCGAACGGGUGAGUAACGACGUGGACAACCUGCCUCGAAGGCUGGGGAUAACAUUUGGAAACAGAUGCUAAUACCGAAUAAACUUAGUGUACGCAUGACACAAGUUAAAAGCGCUUUGGCGUCACCCUAAAGAUGGAUCCGCGGUG